rnacentral:rRNA from 1 species
CGCCUCUUGCCCAUAUAAGAGGUCCAGCCUGCCCAGUGACUCUUGUUCAACGGCCGCGGUAUCCUAACCGUGCGAAGGUAGCGUAAUCACUUGUCUUUUAAAUAAGGACCAGUAUGAAAGGCAUCACGAGGGCUAAACUGUCUCCUCUCCCUAAUCAGUGAACCUAAUCCCCCCGUGAAGAGGCGGGGAUUCUUAUAUAAGACGAGAAGACCCUAUGGAGCUUUAAACAUUAUAACACCUGCUACCGCAUCUUUACUUACUCAGGUAUUUCUCCUCGCAGCACGCUGAUUACAUGUUUUUGGUUGGGGUGACCGCGGAGAAAAACCAAUCCUCCGCAAUGAAAGGGACCUUCCCUAAACAGCAAGCUACAACUUUAUGUAUCAGCAAACUGACAUUCAUUGACCCAAUACAUUGAUUAACGAACCAAGUUACCCUAGGGAUAACAGCGCAAUCCACUUCAAGAGCCCCUAUCGACAAGUGGGCUUACGACCUCGAUGUUGGAUCGGGAUAUCCUAGUGGUGCAGCCGCUACUAAGGGUUCGUUUGUUCAACGAUUAAAACCCC